rnacentral:lncRNA from 1 species
GGAAUUCCUGCAAAAAGUAAUAAACUAAAAGAAAACCUAAAGGGUAUAAAUGUAAAAUUAAGUCCUUUUACUCUCUCCAGUUGAACUACCUAGAGAAAACCAUUUUAAAUCACAAUUUCAGAAGAUUUUAAAAAUUCAACUCUACCUAAAGACAUCAUAAAAUGGCUCAUUAUUCCAUCAUCCAGGCUCCCCUGUUUCUCAGGCCUCCAGACUGAAGCUGAAUUAUACCACCAGCUCUCCUCAGUCUCCAGUUUGCAGACAACAGAUCAUGGGACUUCUCAGCCUCCAUAAUCACAGGAGUCAAUUCCUCAUAAUAAAUCUGUCUGCCCC